AAGUCAGUGUAGUUGUAUCUAAACAACCAUAAGCUAUAGUAACUGCCAUCGUAGCCGUGCAUGUUAUAACUUCACCUUUGUACUCAGGUAGGUUAAGGACUGGGACCAACUGGGACCAGCAAUUAUUGCUGAAUCAGCUAAAACGCAGCCACGCCCACGAUUUUUAAUAUGUUUUGUGUGUAAAAAAUUAGUUUAGCUACUUAUCAUUUUUAGUUCUAAUUCCGGAGGUCUAAACCUUCCUUUCAGCUCUAAAUUUUUAGUGUAGUAGGUAGUUCAAAGGUUUGUGCAGACUAUUCAAUCGGGAGGGAGCUGUUCAUUCAGCCAAAGGUGAGAUUUUGCAAAAAACGUAGUUUUCUAGCUGUUAAUUUUAAAUGUAAAAGCUAAUAACUUACUUUGCAUAGAGUACCAUGCUUCCUCCCGAUUGAAUAGUCUGCACAAACAAGUAUCUUACUUUUUUCAUGUCGAAAUAACACAUGCUAUGCAAUGUGCGCAAGAUUAUAUCUACGUACUUCAUUCAAAAAUCGUUUGGAGUCUCUACAAGGAAUAACUGUAUAUCUUCUAAUUCAUCGAACACUUCCAGACACUUUUGGGCAAUUUUCGUUGUUCUAAUACAGUGGACACUUCAUUUCAUUUUCAAUUUUGCGUUUUUCGAGGGUAGAGCAGUAAUGCGAAAAAUACAACCAGGAUAAACUCCUACAUACCGAUAUGUUCACAUGCAAAGCUAUUGGUGGUCCUGGCAUUGAAACGCGAGUAUUAGAACCCACGAAAUUUCUGCUGAGGGCUCUGGAGCCAAAUAGCGAAAAUUUGCACCCGCGAAAUUUUCCCACUAUACGGUACCUUGAAAAGUUGAGACACAUUCGAUCCAAGCAACAUAGCUUUAUAGCCAGCAAGGGUGCUGCAAGUUAGAUAGCUCUUCAGUCGCACACUAGCUGUUCUAUUAAACUUAGCUAGCUCGCAUACAACUGCAUGCUUCUUCUGGAUACUUUGCGUGCUCUAUAAAGAUCUGUUCCAAUUAUGCCCGGACAAUUUACAAAAUAAAUGUUUGCUGUCCAAUAACUAUACGGUACAUACAUCUACAAACAGUCCUUACCAAAACUGUAUUGACUGUAUGCAAAAAACUACCAGCGACAAACGUACAUAUGAAUGAGGCUGUAACGGACGGAGUUAUGCUCUGCUCUCUAGUUUCUAUGCUUUUUGGUGUUUCUCCCCGGCCAAUCCUAGAAAUUUUUCACAUUGCAAGAAAUAAUGACUUUAGAUCUACAAACAGUCCUUAGCAAAACGCUUGCUUAGCCAUAUCACACAACUAGUGUAUUAUAGAUCCAGCUGUUAAAUGGUACAAAACACAAGAGUACAAAAUAAACGCACUGUACAGAUGCUAGCGUGCGUACGUGGUAGAGUACCAUAAGCGUACUUUCAGCACUUAUUUUGCUCCUUAUUAACGUGCUACGUACAUACUACGUAAACAUAACGGGAACUGUAUAUUGACCGCUACUGUAUGUAUGUGUCAUUGGUUGUAGAAACAGACCUCUUUAGACUGCACGUGCGCAACUGGAUUGAACUACAGUAUUUUUUGAAACAUAGUGCUUUUCUAAUUAAGCACCACUUUGAUUCUCCUAUUAUCGUAAUUUCGCAAACUUAUUUUCGCGAACAGUGAGGUUUUACUUAAAAUACGUUCCUCACCCGCGACCUCGUUUCGAGGCUUGUGGCCUAGCUGUGAUAUCAUUUCACUGAUAGCAUGCAGUUACCAUACAAAUGAAUUGUUUCUUGUGCAUUAACGUUACAUGUACAAUUACAUGUACAAUGUCAUUGAACUAUCAAACACAUUCUAAUGCCAUAUACAAGGAACAGCAGGUACAUAACCUGCGGCAAAAUUGGGUGAUCGAAAUUGUUCUGAGAUUUGGGAUAAAUGACGUAUAGUUGUUCCCUGCAUAUACUUCUUGGAGGGAAACAGAAAAACUUAUUAUAUCCGCUCUUGAUACCUACUCACUAAAUAAAACUACUUUUCUUCACUAAACCACACCGCGUAAUUAUUGUGAACACAUGAUAUUUAUCUACUGCGCAUGCUCACACUCAAAGGAUUUUAAUUGUGAAUAAGACUAAAAUCGUACUCGCUCAUGCGUAACUGGAAAGCAUUAUGAAUGUCAUUGAAGCAUGGAUUUUUCCAUCUUCAGCAACAAUUUUCAUUCGCAUGCCCUUUCUGUGUGCACCACUUUUUGUACAUGCUUUCUAUCAACACAGAACAAACACUUCAUUUGCUGGUCUCUCUCUAGCACUGUCCUUGGAAUGCCUGAUCUGCAAUGUAAUUUAACUUCUCUUUCUACCGCAAGAGAUACUAAAAGAGUAUUAUUUACCGCAUUCAACAAGAUGUCCAUACAUUGACUCAACACAAAGUCCAUGUGAUCACAAAAGAAUAUCACGAUCAAGCACAAAGUAGUGUUCUUGUAGUGAGGUAGCUAGUUAGGAGUUUGGCAAGAAUGCUGCUAUUCAUAUAUAUCGUAUAGCGUGUAAUUUUCGUGGGGCAAAAUAUUUGUGGUUUUCGUGGUUGGAGGUCUGACCACGAAUAUUUUACCCACGAAUGAAGCGACCUUGCCUACCUUUACCUGCAGUGCAAGCUCCAACCACGAAAUGUCUCAAUAUUGCUGAACCACGAAUAUUUUGUUCCCCGCCCCCGAAAAUUACCCGCUAUACGGUACAUUCCUAGUUCAACAGGACUCCUCUGAUGUCUGCUGCCAAAAAUGGACACUCUGCCAUUGUCCGUCACCUUCUCUCCUGUGGAGCUGACCCCAACCUCAGGAACAAGGGUGGUCAAUCUGCCUACGAUCUGGCUCGUACGAAUGGAC